rnacentral:other from 1 species
AACUGAACACUUCGCUCCAUUGCUUUACUGUUAAGUCAUGUUGUCUGAAGCGCUCAUUGUCCGGAUUUACUGCUAAGCUCAGUAGGUUGGGCACAAAUUGCGUGUUUAAUUUUUUAUUUUAUUCAGGAGACAUCAUGUCCAAAGCAACUGGUACCGUGAAGUGGUUCAACGAAGACAAAGGCUUCGGCUUCAUCACUCAAGACAACGGCGGCGCUGACGUAUUCGUACACUUCCGUGCCAUUCAGGGUGACGGUUUCAAAACUCUGGCUGAAGGUCAGCAGGUAUCUUUCGAUAUCGAGCAAGGCCCGAAAGGCCCGCAAGCGGCUAACGUAACCAAGAUCUAAUUGGUUAUUACCCGCGAAGAAAAAGGCGCCAAUCGGCGCCUUUUUUGUU